GUCUAGGCCAUUCUACCCUGAACGCGCAUGAUCUCGCCUGAUCUCAGAACCUAAGCAGGAUUGGGCCUGGUUAGUACUUGGAUGCGAGACUGCCUGGGAACGCUGGGUGUUGUAUGCU
rnacentral:rRNA from 1 species